rnacentral:misc_RNA from 1 species
ACAAACUUGGUCAUUUAGAGGAAGUAAAAGUCGUAACAAGGUUUCCGUAGGUGAACCUGCGGAAGGAUCAUUAAAAGAACUUGUGCCCGAGACAUUCGUGUCCAAGGCCCCACACUGUGUGCACCGUUUAUCGUUCUUUUUGGCAGGGGCUUUGGGUUUUUCCUUCCUCCCUUGUUUGGUGGACUCGAACUUCUCCUUCGGCUCUAUCCUCUUUUUCUCAUUCUUUUUUUGGGGUUGCGGGAAAAGAGGACAGUCGGACAUGGGAAGCAGCUUACCCUGCCAAGUGAAUACUUAAAAACGCUUUUUGUCUGAACGAAUUUUUAAUAAAUUGCGACCAUGAAAUUUUUCGUGGAAUGCAAAAAACCAAACAUAACUUUCAACAACGGAUCUCUUGGCUCUCGCAUCAAUGAAGAACGCAGC